GGGAAUUAGAGUCAGUUGGCUCUGGUUUGUAAAGAAGAAAGAGUCAAUGCUUGGAGGCGAUGCCCAUGAGAAACACCAAGAAGAGACAAAAAACAAACACAGUCCUCCGGGCAUGGCCUUCCAAGCUGCACAAUAGAGAAGAAAAGCCACAUCUCUUGAAGAUCUGUCUGCACUCUUGUUAAUAGAGCCCCAUAUGGCUUCAUCCUCAUUGUCCCAAGGUUGCACUGCCAACUUGAAAUCUCUUGAAAAUAAGCACUACAUUCCAAUACUAACUGGGAAUAGGUGAGAGCCCUGGCUUCUUAAGUGACUUAUGCUGUCCAAGAAGAGAAGAGAUACUUCAGACAUCUAGGGAUCUUGAUAUAUAAAAUUCACAGCUCUGCAUGUUCCUUUAUGCUUAAUGUGUGCAGGAUCACGAGAGGAGAUAAGAUGAAUAAUGCAGAGAUGCCAAUCUAGGAAGUGCUGAAGCUGUCUACAAGGUCAUUACUUAGAAACAGCAGGACAUUUUCCCAUAAAGUACAACUACCCAUUUUUUUCUGUUCUGCCUUUUAAGAAAUCAGAAAAACACAAGGGCUCUGGACUUUCUCACCAUUCCUCCUGUGUGAAUCAAGGCUGUCUUAUUUGAGUUGAUCCUUGGAGUCUUGGGUCCCCAGCCACU